CUCAGGAUGAACGCUGGCGGCGUGCUUAACACAUGCAAGUCGAACGGUGAACAUGGAGCUUGCUCUGUGGGAUCAGUGGCGAACGGGUGAGUAACACGUGAGCAACCUGCCCCUGACUCUGGGAUAAGCGCUGGAAACGGCGUCUAAUACUGGAUACGAACAACGAUCGCAUGGUCAGUUGUUGGAAAGAUUUUUUGGUUGGGGAUGGGCUCGCGGCCUAUCAGCUUGUUGGUGAGGUAAUGGCUCACCAAGGCGUCGACGGGUAGCCGGCCUGAGAGGGUGACCGGCCACACUGGGACUGAGACACGGCCCAGACUCCUACGGGAGGCAGCAGUGGGGAAUAUUGCACAAUGGGCGCAAGCCUGAUGCAGCAACGCCGCGUGAGGGAUGACGGCCUUCGGGUUGUAAACCUCUUUUAGCAGGGAAGAAGCGAGAGUGACGGUACCUGCAGAAAAAGCACCGGCUAACUACGUGCCAGCAGCCGCGGUAAUACGUAGGGUGCAAGCGUUAUCCGGAAUUAUUGGGCGUAAAGAGCUCGUAGGCGGUUUGUCACGUCUGCUGUGAAAUCUGGAGGCUCAACCUCCAGCCUGCAGUGGGUACGGGCAGACUAGAGUGCGGUAGGGGAGAUUGGAAUUCCUGGUGUAGCGGUGGAAUGCGCAGAUAUCAGGAGGAACACCGAUGGCGAAGGCAGAUCUCUGGGCCGUUACUGACGCUGAGGAGCGAAAGGGUGGGGAGCAAACAGGCUUAGAUACCCUGGUAGUCCACCCCGUAAACGUUGGGAACUAGUUGUGGGGUCCAUUCCACGGAUUCCGUGACGCAGCUAACGCAUUAAGUUCCCCGCCUGGGGAGUACGGCCGCAAGGCUAAAACUCAAAGGAAUUGACGGGGACCCGCACAAGCGGCGGAGCAUGCGGAUUAAUUCGAUGCAACGCGAAGAACCUUACCAAGGCUUGACAUAUACGAGAACGGGCCAGAAAUGGUCAACUCUUUGGACACUCGUAAACAGGUGGUGCAUGGUUGUCGUCAGCUCGUGUCGUGAGAUGUUGGGUUAAGUCCCGCAACGAGCGCAACCCUCGUUCUAUGUUGCCAGCACGUAAUGGUGGGAACUCAUGGGAUACUGCCGGGGUCAACUCGGAGGAAGGUGGGGAUGACGUCAAAUCAUCAUGCCCCUUAUGUCUUGGGCUUCACGCAUGCUACAAUGGCCGGUACAAUGGGCUGCGAUACCGCGAGGUGGAGCGAAUCCCAAAAAGCCGGUCCCAGUUCGGAUUGAGGUCUGCAACUCGACCUCAUGAAGUCGGAGUCGCUAGUAAUCGCAGAUCAGCAACGCUGCGGUGAAUACGUUCCCGGGUCUUGUACACACCGCCCGUCAAGUCAUGAAAGUCGGUAACACCUGAAGCCGGUGGCCUAACCCCUUGUGGGAGGGAGCUGUCGAAGGUGGGAUCGGUAAUUAGGACUAAGUCGUAACAAGGAAACCGUAA
rnacentral:rRNA from 1 species